rnacentral:misc_RNA from 1 species
AAGUCGUAACAAGGUUUCCGUAGGUGAACCUGCGGAAGGAUCAUUAUUGAAUAAAUCUGGCGUGAGGUUGUAGCUGGCCCUCUGGGGCAUGUGCACGCCUUCGUCACCUUUAUCUUUCCACCUGUGCACACACUGUAGUCCUGGAUACCUCUCGCUGCAAGGCGGAUGCAGAGCCUGCGCCCCUCCUGGUGCGCGCUUGCUCUGAAUUUCCAGGUCUACGAAUCUUUACACACCCCUAAACGAAUGUCAUAGAAUGUAUAUCACUGGGCCUUUGUGCCUAUAAACCUUAUACAACUUUCAACAACGGAUCUCUUGGCUCUC